AGCAGCCGCGGUAAUUCCAGCUCCAAUAGCGUAUAUUAAAGUUGUUGCAGUUAAAAAGCUCGUAGUUGAAUUUCGGGGUUAGCAAGUUGGUCGUGCCAAUGGUAUGCACUGGCUUUGCUGAUUCCUCCUUCUUGUAGAACCGUAAUGCCAUUUAGUUGGUGUUGCGGGGAAACAGGACUGUUACUUUGAAAAAAUUAGAGUGUUUAAAGCAGGCUAACGCCUGAAUACAUUAGCAUGGAAUAAUGAAAUAGGACGAGCGAUCCUAUUUUGUUGGUUUCUAGGAUUGACGUAAUGAUUAAUAGGGAUAGUUGGGGGCAUUAGUAUUCAAUUGUCAGAGGUGAAAUUCUUGGAUUUAUUGAAGACUGACUACUGCGAAAGCAUUUGCCAAGGAUGUUUUCAUUAAUCAAGAACGAAAGUUAGGGGAUCGAAGACGAUCAGAUACCGUCGUAGUCUUAACCAUAAACUAUGCCGACUAGGGAUCGGAUGGUGUUAAUUUUUAAUGACUCAUUCGGCGCCUUAC
rnacentral:rRNA from 1 species